rnacentral:rRNA from 1 species
ACCGCGUGUGCGAAGGAGGCCUUCGGGUCGUAAAGCACUUUUUGGAAGGAAUAGGAAGGAAUGUACUUCCAGAAUAAGUCUCGGCUAACUACGUGCCAGCAGCCGCGGUAACACGUAGGAGGCAAACGUUAUCCGGAUUUACUGGGCGUAAAGCGCGUGUAGGUGGUACUGUAAGUAGGGCGUGAAAGCUCCCGGCUCAACUGGGAGAGGCCGUUCUAAACUGCAGAACUAGAGGAUGGUAGAGGGAGGUGGAAUUCCAGGUGUAGCGGUGGAAUGCGCAGAUAUCUGGAGGAACACCAGUGGCGAAGGCGGCCUCCUGGACCAUUCCUGACACUCAGACGCGAAAGCUAGGGUAGCAAACGGGAUUAGAGACCCCGGUAGUCCUAGCCCUAAACGAUGUAGACUAGGCGUCGGUGGUUUAAUCACCAUCGGUGUCCAAGCUAACGCGAUAAGUCUACCGCCUGGGGACUACGGCCGCAAGGUUAAAACUCAAAGGAAUU